GAAAGUGAUGGAACCAUGAUUCGUGAAUAUAUUUGAUUCGUGUAGAUUGCAACCUUUAAGUUGCAGAGGUCAGGACACCACUUUGGUUAUCUCAUGCGCUUACUUGAAUGUAGUUUCUCCACAGAUUGAUAACCCAAGGACUGAAGAGAUGGUUGUGGUGACCCUGAGAACACACGGAGAAGCUGGAAGAAAAAGACAUAUUUAGGAUUAGUUGUCUGUAAUAUGUUUUUUUUUUUUUCUAUUUUGUUGUGUGUGUAUCAAUUUGCUUAUCAUUUGGAUUCAAACAAGGUUUGUAUGUAUAAAUAAUCAAACUUUAAGACGUGAAAGUUCUACCGAUCGAGAGAAUUAAAAAUCUCUCCGAUCUUCUUUUAUUUAAAUUAAUAUAUAGUUCACGUUUGAUUUUCUACUA